rnacentral:rRNA from 1 species
GAUGAACGCUGGCGGCGUGCUUAACACAUGCAAGUCGAACGAAGCAUUCGCGACCGUUUUCUUCGGAAUGUAGUUGCUAAUGACUGAGUGGCGCAUGGGUGAGCAACGCGUGGGUAAGCUGUCUUGUACUGGGGGGUAGCAUCUGGAAACGGCUGGCAACACCGCAUAAGCGCACAAUGUUGCAUGACAUGGUGUGUAAGACUGCGGUGGGAUAAGAGGGUGCAGCAUCUGAUUAGCUAGUUGGUGAGAUAACAGCCCACUAAGGCGACGACGACUAGACGAGCAGUGAGGCUGACCGGACACAUUGGGAGUGAGACGCGGUCGAGAAUCCUACGGGAGGCAGCAGUGGGGAAUAGUGCACAAUGGAGGAAAUUCUGAUGCAUCUACGCCGCGUGAGUGAUGAAGUAAUUCGUGAUGUAAAGCUCUAGCAGCAGUGAAGAUAGUGACGGUACCUGACUAGAAAGCCCCGGCUAAAUACGUG